GUCCCUGUAGCGCAAUGGAUAGAGCGUUGGACUUCUAAUCCAAAGGUUGUGGGUUCGAAUCCUACCUGGGAUG
rnacentral:tRNA from 1 species